rnacentral:rRNA from 1 species
GACGAACGCUGGCGGCGUGCUUAACACAUGCAAGUCGAACGAUGCCGUCGGGUAUAGUGGCCUACGGUUCAGUAAUGCGUUGGAACCUGCCCCAGAGUGGUGAAUAACUCCUCGAAAGGGGUGCUAAUACCAGAUAAUAUCUUCGGAACAAAGAUAUUUCGCCUAUGGAUGGGACCGCGUUGGAUUAGCUAGUUGGUAGGGUAAAAGCCGACCAAGGCGACGAUCGCUAGCUGGUCUGAGAGGGUGAACAGCCACACUGGGACUGAGACACGGCCCAGACUCCUACGGGAGGCAGCAGUGGGGAAUAUUGCACAAUGGGGGAAAGCCUGAUGCAGCAAUGCCGCGUGAGUGAUGAAGGAAUUAGGGUCGUAAAGCUCUUUUAUAUGGGAAGAUAAUGACAGUACCAUAAGAGAAAGCCCCGGCUAACUACGUG